UGAACGCUGGCGGCGUGCCUAAUACAUGCAAGUCGAGCGAACGGACGAGAAGCUUGCUUCUCUGAUGUUAGCGGCGGACGGGUGAGUAACACGUGGAUAACCUACCUAUAAGACUGGGAUAACUUCGGGAAACCGUAGCUAAUACCGGAUAAUAUUUUGAACCGCAUGGUUCAAAAGUGAAAGACGGUCUUGCUGUCACUUAUAGAUGGAUCCGCGCUGCAUUAGCUAGUUGGUAAGGUAACGGCUUACCAAGGCAACGAUGCAUAGCCCACCUGAGAGGGUGAUCGGCCACACUGGAACUGAGACACGGUCCAGACUCCUACGGGAGGCAGCAGUAGGGAAUCUUCCGCAAUGGGCGAAAGCCUGACGGAGCAACGCCGCGUGAGUGAUGAAGGUCUUCGGAUCGUAAAACUCUGUUAUUAGGGAAGAACAUAUGUGUAAGUAACUGUGCACAUCUUGACGGUACCUAAUCAGAAAGCCACGGCUAACUACGUG
rnacentral:rRNA from 1 species